GUGUGUGCGGCGGCUCCCGCCGAAGCCUCCAGAGAGUCAAUGCGGAGGGGGAGCGGGGACCCCCGAAAGCGGGUUCUGUGCUUGCAGGGCUUAAAUACCGUUGUUUUAAAGAGUGUGUGCCGCUCUGCCAGCUGGUAGCAUCAAAAUGCUAUUAACAGCGGGUAUUAUUAAAGUCUGAAUAGUAGCGGUGGGCUGGGUGGGGGUGUUUGGGUUGAUUUUGGGAACAGAAAGUCCUUAAUGUGUUUUGGGGGGAGAGUGGAUGUUACAUUCCUUGCUGGAGCCAGGGUUGUUUGUCCGGAGUCAAGUUGUUGAUAAGCUGGCCUCAGUGCUGGGAGUACUUUUAUGUAGUGUGCAUUGGGAAUCUGGCCAGAUUCCCUGGUUUAGUUAGGAGUAAGGGUUUUAACUAUUGUGGUAUAAUAGACUGGUUUGGGUUUUGUUAUUCAUCUCUAAACGGGGAUAUGGAAUGGAACUUUCUGUGCAUGGAUCAUUUGCCAAACCUGAAAACUGUGUGAAUGAGCAUCAUGUACAUAGUCCCCUUUGCUGAACAAGCAUUUUGAGGAUGAGAAGAAAACCUUUUAAGUUUAAUGACCGUAUUUUGUUGCGUAACUGAGCAAUCUGCAAAGACCAAGCAAAUGACGCACUUGCUCCUCAAGUUUGGCUCAGUUUGUCAGAAUUCAGAUGGGAUUUUGACUCUGCCCUGCAGUUAAAACAUACCAUAAUCGAGUACAUUGCUUAAUUCUCCAAUUCUAUUGAAUUAGGCUGCUUUCUCAUCCCUUAUUUCCAUAGCAAAGCUUUAUCUAAACUGAGAGAACUUGCCCAGUUGUUGUAGGUGAACCUGCGAGAUGGGAUCAGUCUUGGAAGCCAGUGCCUCAAAUUUACUUACACAGCCACAAAUGCAGGUUUGAUUGGCACUGUUCUUUUGAGAUGCUGUGCUUCUGCUCCGAAAUGGAUAUUCCUCCUGUCUGAAGUUUCUUGCCUGGAAAGUGAGCUGUUCUGCAACGCUCCUCCAACUUUCCUUGGAAACAUCUCUGCUGGGGAUUAUGAGGUGUAACCUACAAGACAAGUAAAGGCUCAGCAAGCUUUUAUUUGCGUUCUUUCUCUACCUCAAGCAGCUCUUGUAUUUAUUGCACCCAGCAGUCAAUUGUGAACUUUUUUUCCUUCUUUUGAACUCUGCAACAAAGGCACAGAACCGUUUCUCUACCAGUUUUUAUGCAUGCCCUGGCUGCCCGCUACAUCUGUACCCUGGGUGUGCUUUGCUGUCUAAUAGGAGUCUUUCUCUCAGGUUAAAUGGCUGUAAUAUUAUGAAUCAAAAAUAAAGCUCUGUUAAAGGA